rnacentral:rRNA from 1 species
AUGGCGGCUGUGGAAGGGGGGCAACUUGUGCAGUUGUGGAACGAAUGGGCGAUUCAGUUCCUGGUCCUCCUCAGCUUCACAUUUCAAGUUUUCCUCUUGUUGUUUGCCGGGAUCCGGCGGCGUGGAGGCUCCACUGUGAUGAGGCUCCUCCUCUGGCUGGUGUACCUCCUGGCCGACUCCACGGCAAUAUAUGCUCUUGGCCACCUAUCCGUGACCAGCAGCACGUCACGGGGGCACCAGCUCGUGGCCUUCUGGGCACCGUUCCUGCUGGUGCACCUUGGUGGCCCGGACAGCAUCACCGCCUACGCCCUUGAGGACAGCCGGCUCUGGCUCCGGCACUUGCUCACUCUUGUCGUGCAGGCCCUUGCAGCUGCUUAUGUCCUUUACAGGUAUAUUGCCGGUAGUGAGACCUUGCUCCUCCGAGCUGCCAUCAUGAUGUUCAUCGUCGGUGUCCUCAAGUAUGGCGAGAGGACAUGGGCCCUCAAGCAUGGUAGCAUGGGCAGACUCCAGAGCGAGUGUAGAAGGCUUGGUUUUGUUUCGGAAUUUGCUAUGCCGGAUGGUUUGGCAGAUCGAACAGAUAACGAGGAGGAGUUUUUGGUUGCCGCUUACAUGAUGUUCCCGAUAUGCAUCCACCUCUUUGGCGGUACUAUUAUCGGGCCGGAGGACUCAUGUAAGUGGCUGCACGCAUAUGGUCUCGGUGGGGAAGACUUGCACAAGUUGGUAGAGAUGGAGCUGUCCCUGAUGUAUGACACCCUGUACACCAAGGCAGCGGUAAUCCACACAUGGUAUGGCUGUUGCAUCCGUAUAAUUUCUCUUGCCUUAACCAUCGCUGCACUCAUGCUGUUCAAAUUCAGCAACAAGUUGGGUUACAGCAGAGCUGAUGUUGCCAUCACCUAUGUUUUGGUAAUUGGGGCAUUGAUCGUGGAGAUCAUAUCAGUGUCUGGGACAUUAGGGUCAUCAUGGAUGUGUAUGUUGUUGCGCGUCAUGUUUUUGACACCGCUCCUAGACUUACUCAAAUCUCUUCGCCGACGUGUGCAUGCAACAAGAAAGAGAAGGUGGUCGGGCUCCAUUGGGCAGUAUAACUUGUUCCACCUGUGCACCCAUGACCAGACUGAUCUAGGCAGGAGGCUGGCAAAAAUGGUGGGGCUCGAGGACUGGUGGAGCAGACUGCAUUUCUCGGGCACCGCCGACAUCUCGGAGACAGAUCUCAAGGAUCUGCUCUGCAAGUCAUUGCCAGACAUAGACUCCAGGAACUCGAGAGGGGCCCACAUUCUGGAGAACAGGGGAUUAAGUGAGGAUCGUGCAGAAUGGAGUCACUGGAGUGUGAAAAUUGACCUUGAUCGGAGCAUCCUUAUUUGGCACAUUGCUACUGACAUCUACUUGUGUAAAUCCAAGGUAAAGCAUGGGGAAAAGCUAGCUGAGGCGGUCAAGGUGCUAUCCAAUUACAUGAUGUUCCUUCUGGUGGCGAACCCCGCCAUGCUGCCUGGCCUUAUUCGCCAUGCCCUGUAUUCCCAGACCCGCAAGAAUUUGCACAUGAAAUGGCGUACAAAUUCGUUUGACGUGUUACCUUGGAACUUACGGCCGCCAAAUGCUGUGUCACCCAAAAAGAGUUGGCGCUGCAUGCUCAAGGAAUUGUUCCACCAUGAGGGCCCCAAUGACUCCUGCAGGAUCAUACAACAGCAGGAACUUGCUCGGUCUAUACUCAAGGGAGAGUUCUCCCAAGUUGGUGGAAAAACAGAGGCUGCUGGUUCUCGUGAAUUUGCUAUUGACUACGCAGUUCACCUUGCUGCGGAGCUUGUCGUCUUGGAGUCGAGCAAGCCUGACUUGCUAGAAGUUAUAUUUGGGGUGUGGGUGGAAAUGUUGUGCUAUUCUGCACAGAACUGCAAACUGGAUUCCCAUGCCAGGCAGCUCGGCAAUGGCGGCGAAUUUAUCACGGUCAUGUGGCUUCUAAUAUAUCAUGUUGGCAAGUCGGAGGAUGAACACAGCUCAAGCCUUGAUGUCCCAACACCAGCAGGGAGCAGGCCAACACGUAGCUUGCCUUGA